rnacentral:rRNA from 1 species
GAGGAAUAUUGCACAAUGGGGGCAACCCUGAUGCAGCAAUGCCGCGUGGAUGAAGAAGGCCUUCGGGUUGUAAAGUCCUUUUCUGAGAGAAGAGAGAGGACGGUAUCUCAGGAAGAAGUCCCGGCUAACUACG